rnacentral:lncRNA from 1 species
UGCUUCGUUCUCGUGGCUUCUGGAGUCUUCUAGAUGGUAGAAAAUUGUGCGGUGCGUUGAUAUCUCUAUAUAAUCCCGACAUUUGGGCCUUUCUACCUUAUUUCAUGAUAACCCCCUGCAGAAACAGAUAACCAAUAAAACUCGUGGAAUUCUGUCAAAUCAAACCCUAAUUCUAGGUGUUGUUUGCAUAUUGGUCCUUUCUCUUGUUUAUUUGAUAAUUAAAAUUGAUACUUAAGAACCGUCAACAAAUACCCCCAUACUUAGGCUUUUACUCGUCCUCGAGAAAAGGAUGGUUAAGAACAAUAUCUGGGGUAAAACAUUUUAAAACAUUCUCUUCAUAACUGCAGGGUGUUAAAAUCCACUGUGUACUAUAGUCGUUGAAGUAUAUGGUUAAGAGUAAAGAUCCUUUCUUCUCAAUCCUGUCACUUGGAGUUUUUAUAUAUUUUUGAAAUAAAAGUUAGCGUACCUUUAUCCUCAUAGGUUCUCUCAGAUCACUCAUUAUCUUUUUUAUCUUACUGAGGCUGUUUUAAUUUGCAAAAAUUCUCAAGCAUACUUACUUUGUAUUUAUUGCCUGAUCAAAACAGGAUCCGAGGAGGGGAAUGUCAUACUCUUAGAUCAAAGACUUUGGAAAUUAAAAUCUUUGUCAACUCUUGCUGGCAUAUUGCUUAUUAGAGGGACCAUGGGCUAUCAUUUUCUUUCUUUUUUCUCUUUUUUUAAGUGGAUACCGAGGUACCCCUAGUUCUACUAUCGGACACUUGUCCAUUUUAUCUGCGAGGUUAUCGAGCACUUGCUCCUUUUUAUUUCCUCGAAAUAUCCUUAUUUUUGCAUAGCCCAAGCCUCUAAUGCAAUAAUACUUCAGAAGAGUGAAUCUUUCUGAAUAAAUGUCUUGAUCUUAGGAGCAUGAUAAAUCUCUCAACAAGGGUCUAACUCAUUUUGAACAAACUCAAUACAGAGUAGAUAGCUUUUAUAAUCAUAAUUAAUAUUUUCAGUUUUAUCAGGCAUAUAAAACACUGAGGAUGGUAGCUAGAAUUUUUUAAAUAAAUUCUCCAAGCAACAAUGAUAUCAAGAAUAAGAAACUCAUACUCUACCAUCUCACAUUCGACAAUGACUUAAGUAACAUAGGGUUUUAAAAUGAUUUUCAAUAAUUGCAAGUUUCAGGAAAUAUCACAGAGUGAGAUUAAUCAUAUUUUGAAACAUUUUAAGCUUGUUAAUUUAUCAUGUCGAAGGCAAAAUUCUGCACAAUCUAAGAUAUAUAUGAGUAUGUGUAAAAUAAGUGUAGAGUGUGUACCUGAAUCUUGGAGUGGUGUAGUUGAAGUGUGUUUGGCAUAUCGAGGGAUCUCCCCCAUACUUGUUUUCUGCUUUCUUGCACAAAAAUAAAGUAGAGACACACAAGACAUAACAAUAAUAAUAAUAAUAAUAAUAAUAAUAAUAAUACUCUUUAUUAAUCUUGAGGCAUUUAUUACAAAUAACUAGUAGCAAACUAACGAUAAUAGUAGCAAACUGACAAUAAU